UUCAAUGAUGAACAAGAGCUAUACGCUCGAAAUAAUCCCAGCUCGUCGAACGAUCUCGUUUUAUAUCUCACGUUGAGAUCGUGUUGAGAAAAAGUCCAACCCUGAAAG
rnacentral:snoRNA from 1 species